rnacentral:rRNA from 1 species
GACGAACGCUGGCGGCGUGCCUAAUACAUGCAAGUAGAACGCUGAAGAGAGGAGCUUGCUCUUCUUGGAUGAGUUGCGAACGGGUGAGUAACGCGUAGGUAACCUGCCUUGUAGCGGGGGCUAACUAUUGGAAACGAUAGCUAAUACCGCAUAACAAUGGAUGACACAUGUCAUUUAUUUGAAAGGGGCAAUUGCUCCACUACAAGAUGGACCUGCGUUGUAUUAGCUAGUAGGUGAGGUAACGGCUCACCUAGGCGACGAUACAUAGCCGACCUGAGAGGGUGAUCGGCCACACUGGGACUGAGACACGGCCCAGACUCCUACGGGAGGCAGCAGUAGGGAAUCUUCGGCAAUGGGGGCAACCCUGACCGAGCAACGCCGCGUGAGUGAAGAAGGUUUUCGGAUCGUAAAGCUCUGUUGUAAGUCAAGAACGAGUGUGAGAGUGGAAAGUUCACACUGUGACGGUAGCUUACCAGAAAGGGACGGCUAACUACGUGCCAGCAGCCGCGGUAAUACGUAGGUCCCGAGCGUUGUCCGGAUUUAUUGGGCGUAAAGCGAGCGCAGGCGGUUUGAUAAGUCUGAAGUUAAAGGCUGUGGCUCAACCAUAGUUCGCUUUGGAAACUGUCAAACUUGAGUGCAGAAGGGGAGAGUGGAAUUCCAUGUGUAGCGGUGAAAUGCGUAGAUAUAUGGAGGAACACCGGUGGCGAAAGCGGCUCUCUGGUCUGUAACUGACGCUGAGGCUCGAAAGCGUGGGGAGCGAACAGG